rnacentral:tRNA from 1 species
GCCUGCUUAGCUCAGAGAUUAGAGCAUCUUGUAAUGCGACGGUCAUCGGUUCCCGAUAGCUGGCU